rnacentral:rRNA from 1 species
UUGGAGGGCAAGUCUGGUGCCAGCAGCCGCGGUAAUUCCAGCUCCAAUAGCGUAUAUUAAAGUUGUUGCAGUUAAAAAGCUCGUAGUUGAAUUUCGGGAUCAGAUUGUCGGUCGUGCCUCGGUACGCACUGGCAUUAUUGGUUCCUACCUUCUGAAGAACCGCGAUGUCAUUAAUUUGGUGUCGUGGGGAAUCAGGACUGUUACUUUGAAAAAAUUAGAGUGUUUAAAGCAGGCGCACGCUUGAAUACAUUAGCAUGGAAUAAUGAAAUAGGACGUUUGAUUCUAUUUUGUUGGUUUCUAGGAUCGACGUAAUGAUUAAUAGGGAUAGUUGGGGGCAUUAGUAUUCAAUUGUCAGAGGCGAAAUUCUUGGAUUUAUUGAAGACUAACUACUGCGAAAGCAUUUGCCAAGGAUGUUUUCAUUAAUCAAGAACGAAAGUUAGGGGAUCGAAGACGAUCAGAUACCGUCGUAGUCUUAACCAUAAACUAUGCCGACUAGGGAUCGGAUGAUGUUAAUUUUUUAAUGACUCAUUCGGCGCCUUACGGGAAAC